rnacentral:sRNA from 2 species
GAACCCAAUACGCUGAAUUCCUUCUGGAAGCGGGGGAACCAUUUCUGGGGUGAAACGAUUUUUUCGUGGGGCGCCUUUCAGCCCUAACCCGACAGCUAACCUCGUAAGCGUUCUGAAAGGAGAU